CAUCGGAUGACUGAGGGGUUUAAGGUGUCUGACUUGAAAUCAGAAGUAGCACUAAAAAACUACCGUGAGUUCGAAUCUCACUCCGGCGU
rnacentral:tRNA from 1 species